UACGUAGGGUGCAAGCGUUGUCCGGAAUUAUUGGGCGUAAAGAGCUCGUAGGCGGUUUGUCACGUCGGCUGUGAAAACCCGAGGCUCAACCUCGGGCCUGCAGUCGAUACGGGCAGACUAGAGUAUGGCAGGGGAGACUGGAAUUCCUGGUGUAGCGGUGAAAUGCGCAGAUAUCAGGAGGAACACCGGUGGCGAAGGCGGGUCUCUGGGCCGUAACUGACGCUGAGGAGCGAAAGCGUGGGGAGCGAACAGG
rnacentral:rRNA from 1 species